UUUCUUUUAGCUCAGUUGGUAGAGUGCAUCACUAGUAUACUUAGUCAUUGGUGUGAUUUAUGAUGAGGUCAGUUGUUCAAGUCUGCUAAAGAAAA